rnacentral:rRNA from 1 species
GAUGAACGCUGACAGAAUGCUUAACACAUGCAAGUCUACUUGAAUUUGGGUUUUUAACUUAGGUUUGGGUGGCGGACGGGUGAGUAACGCGUAAAGAACUUGCCUCACAGCUAGGGACAACAUUUAGAAAUGAAUGCUAAUACCUAAUAUUAUGAUAAUAGGGCAUCCUAUAAUUAUGAAAGCUAUAAGCGCUGUGAGAGAGCUUUGCGUCCCAUUAGCUAGUUGGAGAGGUAACGGCUCACCAAGGCGAUGAUGGGUAGCCGGCCUGAGAGGGUGAUCGGCCACAAGGGGACUGAGACACGGCCCUUACUCCUACGGGAGGCAGCAGUGGGGAAUAUUGGACAAUGGACCGAGAGUCUGAUCCAGCAAUUCUGUGUGCACGAUGAAGUUUUUCGGAAUGUAAAGUGCUUUCAGUUGGGAAGAAAGAAAUGACGGUACCAACAGAAGAAGUGACGGCUAAAUACGUGCCAGCAGCCGCGGUAAUACGUAUGUCACGAGCGUUAUCCGGAUUUAUUGGGCGUAAAGCGCGUCUAGGUGGUUAUAUAAGUCUGAUGUGAAAAUGCAGGGCUCAACUCUGUAUUGCGUUGGAAACUGUAUAACUAGAGUACUGGAGAGGUAAGCGGAACUACAAGUGUAGAGGUGAAAUUCGUAGAUAUUUGUAGGAAUGCCGAUGGGGAAGCCAGCUUACUGGACAGAUACUGACGCUGAAGCGCGAAAGCGUGGGUAGCAAACAGG